rnacentral:rRNA from 1 species
UGGGGGAUUUUGGACAAUGGGCGAAAGCCUGAUCCAGCAAUGCCGCGUGUGUGAAGAAGGCCUUCGGGUUGUAAAGCACUUUUGUCCGGAAAGAAAUCCUUGGCUCUAAUACAGUCGGGGGAUGACGGUACCGGAAGAAUAAGCACCGGCUAACUACGUGCCAGCAGCCGCGGUAAUACGUAGGGUGCAAGCGUUAAUCGGAAUUACUGGGCGUAAGCGUGCGCAGGCGGUUUGCUAAGACCGAUGUGAAAUCCCGGGCUCAACCUGGGAACUGCAUUGGUGACUGGCAGGCUAGAGUAUGGCAGAGGGGGGUAGAAUUCCACGUGUAGCAGUGAAAUGCGUAGAGAUGUGGAGGAAUACCGAUGGCGAAGGCAGCCCCCCUGGCCAAUACUGACGCUCAUGCACGAAAGCGUGGGGAGCAAACAGGAUUAGAUACCCUGGUAGUCCACGCCCUAAACGAUGUCAACUAGUUGUUGGGGAUUCAUUUCCUUAGUAACGUAGCUAACGCGUGAAGUUGACCGCCUGGGGAGUACGGUCGCAAGAUUAAACUUAAAUGAAUUGACGGGGUCAUAGCUG